rnacentral:lncRNA from 1 species
AGGGCUGAGCAGGGGCAAUGCAUCAAGAAAGGUAGAUAUUAUAUAAUAUUAAUAUAUGUAUUCCAGUCAAAUCUAUUAUAAUAAACCUGGUGAAGUAUGGAUACUUAUAACUUAUAAUUUUACUUUUCAAUAUCAUUCUCUAAAAACACAUUUAAAACUAAUACCAUUACAAUUUUUUUGUGUCUAAUUUCAUCAAAUAAGCACGUGCUCUCAGAUAAGAAUAUUGAAUAAAAUUACGAGUGAAAGUAAAUGCCAAGUUAAAAAUUUUGAAUAUUUGGUUAAAGUCCUCCAUUUUUGUUAUUCAAUAUCUAACUUUUCUAAUUGGAAAGUUUAAAUUGAUUUAUGGGUCGACUAAACGAGCCUCUGUCGAACUUAGUUAUAGCCAGAUAUCUGUAAUGAGUUUACCAACCAUCUAAUUAAUGCCACUGCCGGUGGGCACAUUUUGUCCCUGUUGUUAUCAACAGCCCAGUAGACAACACUCCUGUUUGAACAUAGCAUAUCAUUAGUGCAGUUAUUUUUUUGUAAAUUAUGUGCUAAUAAAUGUUAAAUCAGUCCGAAAGCACUUAAACGUUUCUAUGUUAGGGUGAAGAUGUCUUUAUAUGUAUUUGCCACUACUUUUUCAGAUUUUUGGGUUAAACAUUCUUCUUUUACUUCGUAGUAAAGCACUUUAAUACCAGAACUUCUUCGUUUUAGCCUCUGUCUCAAUUGGCGUGAUUAUUGAAAUCAGAGGCUGGAGCAUUCAUAAAUCAAAGUUUUAGUAUAGACAUAUAUGAAUCAUACAGAAAUAGUUAUGUUGCCGAGUGGUCUUAGUUCUUUUAAAAUCUACUAUUUAAGUAUCCUGACAACACUGAGAUUAGCAGUUUGGACUUACUUAAAGUAUCUGGGUUUUUUUUCUGACAAAGACGUUGGUUCUCUUCGGAGACUUCAGUUAAAAGCAAAAAUAAAAACUGACCUCUACGAUAUAGCCAAAGGUGCUGAAUGUUAUCAAUCAUUAAUCAAGCAAACCAAGUGUUCUUAAAUUUAGUACAACAAUUACGUUAUUUAUCUAGAAAAAACACGUUUGUAAAUUUGAAAUACAAUAAAGGUGAAUAACUAUAUUUUGUCAUAAAAUAGCUUUUCAGAAAUUAAAUAUUGGUCAUUGAACAACUUCUGUUUUCAUGCCUUUCUAUUGAUGGCAUUUUAAUUUCUUCCUGCUGAUGUAUUUUAAAUUUGUUCUUAAACUGAUGAUACCAUAAUAUCAUUUAUAAGCAAUGUUACUAAACGGUUAAAGUUAUUCGAGCUUUAAUUUCAGUAAUGUUAUUAUGUUGAAUAAACUGAAUCUACCAGUGUUAAAAACAUCAAUCACGCUAAGAAUUCAUCCCUUUACUGUUAAUUUCAAAUCUACCAUCUAUAGAAAAAAAAGAUGUGGUAUGAUUGCCAAUGAGACAACUCUCCACAAGAGACCAAAAUGACACAGAAUUAAAAAACUAUAGAUCACCAUACGGCCUUAAACAAUGAGUAAAGCCCAUACCGCAAAGUCAGCUAUAAAAGGCCCCGAAAUACCAAUAUAAAACAAUUCAAACGAGUAAACUAACGGCCUUAUUUAUAUAUUAAUAAGGCAACAGGGUAACCGCUGUUCAAAAUUCAUAAAUCGAUAGAAAAAAACAAAUCCGGGUUACAAACUAAAACUGAGGGAAACGUAUCAAAUAUAACAGAACUACGACACAACAGAGACACAACACCGAAAUGUAAAACACACAGACACGAACUAUAAUGUAUCAAUGGCCAUUUCCCUGACUUGAUACAAGGCAUUUUAUGAAAAAAUGGUGGAUUGAACCUGGUUUUGCGGCAUGCCAAACCUCCCGCUUUAAUGACAGUGUUAAUUAUAACAUAAAAAUGACAACAUUACACGACAGGGCUACAAUAGAUAAAUGGGAGAAAAUAUAGGACAGAGAAACAAACGAAUAAUAGCCAUCAAAAGUUAACAUAGAAUUGAGAAUGGAAAGGGAGAAUGUGUCAAAGAGACAACAACCCGACCAAAUAAAAAACAACAGCAGAGGGUCACAAUUGGUCUUCAAUGUAGCGAAAAAUUCCCGCACCCGGAGGCGUCCUUCAGCUGGCCCCAACAAAUAUAUACUAUCCAGUAUAAUGAACGCCAUACUAAUUCCAAAUUGUACACAAAAACUAAAAUUAAAAUAAUACAAGACUAACAAGGCAGAGGCUCCUGACUGGGACAGGCGCAAACAUGCGGCGGGGUUAAACAUGUUUGUGAGAUCUCAGCCCUCCCCUAUACCUCUAGCAAUGUAGAAAAGUAAACGCAUAACAAUAUGCACAUUAAAAUUCAGUUCAAGAGAAGUCGAGUCUGAUGUCAGAAGAUGUAACAAAGAAAAUAAACAAAAUGACAAUAAUACAUAAAAUAACAACAGACUACUAGCAGUUAACUGACAUGCCAGCUCCAGACUUCAAUUAAACUGACUGAAAGAUUAUGAUUUCAUCAUAUGAACAUCAGGCACAAUCCUUCCCGUUAGGGUUUAGUAUCAUAACCAUCAUAACAUAUAUGAGAAGAACAUAACCCGUGUCAUGCCAACAACUGUUUUUAGAAUAAAUGUGUUUAGUUCCGAUGCAAAGACCUUAUCAGUGACUCAAUUUAACGCCAAAAUAUGCAAUCUUUAAUGACUUGACAAACAGUAUCGUAAUAUAUCCUUUCUUAAUAAGUCUAUUCAAAGGUUUGUAAGUUUUUGAGGUGAAUACUGACACCUUUGUGCUUAUAAGAAUAUUUCCAUAAAAAAUUGGAUGUGAAAUACCUGAUUAGAAGUCUGCAUUGAGCUAUAUUUACGAAUGAGUCUUUUACGAUGAUACAAUUUAGUAAAGUUUGACUAGUUGUGAUAUCGAAAACCCUGGUGUAAUAAUUUUUCAGUAAUACAUAAAUUUCUUUCGUUAAAAUCUAAACAUUGUUACAUACACGAGCGAAUCGUAACAUACACGAGCGAAUCGUACAAGUGAGAUAUAUAAAACACCGUAAGAUGUGACAAGGAACGUCCACCAUCAAAAACGGAUAAUUAACGAUAGAAAUGAAAAACAUCCUUACAUAAAUUAGUAUUCAGCUUUAUAGUGAUAAGAUAUCAAAUCGAGAAAACAGUGGUCAUUGUUAGUAUAGCUUUAUUUAAAGUAAGUUCACAGAAUAAAUUUCAUUAAAUACACUGAAUCGUCUUAUGAGAGCCAAAUAUCAAAAUCUAAAAGUAAUUAAAUGUUUAUCAGAUGUUGUUGAUGGGUCUUUGCUUAUUUUUGUCAUAAAUUUAACUAUAACAAUACAAAAGGGUCCGCAAUAAGCACAGUUAGCAAACAUAGUUGGGACUUUAGUUUGGCUCUGCUUGUAAGCGGUGGCUAAAAGUUAUGUUUGUUACAGAUUUCGUUUUCUGAAAAUGGAGUCAGUUGGAAUGUUGGGAAGUUGGUGAUUCCGUUUCAGACCUCAAUGAAAAUUUACUUCAAAAAUAAUAAUAUUAUUAGCAGCUUUAUCGGCCGGGACAAAACAAAUUCCUUGGUAGUUCUUUUAGUUUAUGUUUGAUACGAGAAAUAGGUUUAUUGUGGUUACGUUAAUAGUAAAAUGUUCUUAAAAUGUUGAAUACUAUAUCAACUAUCUCUUACUGAAUUAAAAAAAGAGUCCAAAGAUUUUUGUCAGCUUUUUCCCGUUAUCCAUUUCAUACAGUAAGUAUGGAGUGAGUCGUAGAUAUAUACGACGACUCAUUCAAAUUAAUAAUACGGGGACGAUAUUUGGUCCUUUACUGAGGAAUGAUUUUAACUCUCGUCUUGAACGAUGUUAAGAGUCUCCUGUUAUAACAUGGAAAUGGGUCCAUAAAUAUAUUCGGAAUUACUGCGAAUACAUGAAGUAGGUGUUUUUCACUGAUAUUAAAUCUUUACACAAUUGACUAUAUAAUUAAAACAAAAUUUCCAGUAGAUUUCUUGUAAAUAUAACAAAUAAGAGGUAGCUCAGUAUUGUCAAAAUAUCCAGGAAUUUGUUCUUAACAGAAUGGUUCGUUAAAUAUACGGCAAUAUUUACAAAAUCAAAGCCUUUAUUGACAUACUUAAUUUAAUAAAAUGUUUUUAUGAUCUUCAGGGCGAUCAAUUUUGGAAAUAAUUUAGAAAUAACAAUAUGCCAUAAUAAUUUGAACAAUUUCAUAUUUAGGACUGCUAUAUGAAAUUGUGUUGCAAUCCUCCAAAAAUUUUAUUUAACUUAUUAACCGGUAACGAACAGAGUUUGUUAACAGAAUAAUGUCUGCCGUUGUUUUUUGAAAUAGAAAUUACGUCCGAAAUAUUGUUAUGAUUGGCCCGAAAUUUUCUUUUGAUUGCGAUUUGUUCUACGACCGUGAGACGUUUUUACGAACAGUUUAGAAACUAUAUCCAAAAUGUUUAACGAAUUGUUCUAGAUAUAUUACCAAUUCCAUGAUAUUAUCAUUUAGACCGAGAGGGUAAACUGUCUGUAAUUUUUUAAUCCCAAUUUAAUUCAAUUAUUUUCCGUGAUCGUACAAACUUGAAUGCGAUUCACCAGGCUGCUUAUUUACUACUCUAAAGUUGAACUGCUAAAUAUUUAAAAGGAUGGUUGUGCUUCUUUAAGUUGUUGGGUAAAAUGAUACUUUUGAAUUUAUUGGGUCUUUAAAAACGGAUACAGAUGUUCUGAGUGCGUUUAGAUAAAUAUCGUCCAGUUUCUCCUACGUACUGAAUACCACCCGGUUUGUUUAUGUGAGUAAAUAAAUAAUACUGUUGUUUUUCAAGUUAAUCAGUUUCAAAAUUUAAAGAAAAUGUGGACCAUUAAACGUGGACCUUACCGUAUUGUUGGUGGAAAGACGGGACAUGUAAGUCAUUUUUUGGCAUGACAACUUAUCGAUAGAAGGGUAACCACGGUUUGAUUGUUAAAAUGUUAGCGAUGGUAGUAUUUUUAAUAACCGAUUUUGAAGAUUGAGACGUGUAGAUACCUUUGAACAAGUUUAGUAUUUAGUAAUUUUCCAUUUCUAAGCUUCAUAAUUGUUUUGUUAGUGAAUAUAUAAUAAAGGAGCAAAGAUUGCGUCCAGAAUAUAACCAGCAUACAUAAUUUAAGUUAUAUAAAAUGGAUAAAUUGUUCGCUACAAAGUCAAACGCUAUCAGUAUUAAUUACCGGAUAAAGAUAGUAUAUCAGGGGGACUGAAUGGCUGACUAAAUAGUAGAAUGGGGCUGAAUAUUGAAAUACUACUUUUUGAUAAAUAUUCCUAAAGUAAUGAAACUAGAGCCGUUCUCGCUCGGACACACACUCCAUAAUCUAGUAUAUUAUAAGAGCAUAAACCUGAAGCAAGGGGAGGCACUUAACAAAUAUUUUUAUACGCCAGACGCGCGCUACGUCCACACAAAACUAUGCUCAGAUGAAACCACAAUCUAACACGUGGUAAAAAUGUCCAUAGUUAGUUUGGACAAAGAUACAUCGUAUAGAUCAACCAAUUCGUGAUGGUGUCCGUAAAAUUUACGGAGUGUCAUUUUGAAUCUGUCCUCCUCAUAACUUUGUUGGAGCAGUUUCUUGUAUAUGAAGUCCGUAUAGUGUGAACAUGCACGAGAAUAACGUAUUAAUUGAGAUAUGUAAACACCAUACGAAGGGCAGAGGGUAUGUUACUGCUGAGAAAUGGAAAUUGAUAAUUGGGAGUUGAAAUCGUCCCGUUUAUCAUAGAUUUUUGUGUGAAAUCGUCCAUCUGUGUCAAUAUUGAGGAAAAGAUCAAGGUAUGAAGCAGUCCUUCUAGUAUCAGUAAGUAUCCUUAAUUUCAAGUUCGCUGGGAUAUAUGAGAUGCAAGUAUUGGCUGGAAUAUGGGUUAUUCAGUGAUAAGACAUCAUCAAUAUAUCGGAAAGUGAAAUUAAAAAAUUUCGCAAGGUGCUUUUUCUGUUUGUCUUUUAGAAGGGUUUGAAUGAAUUCUGCUUCAUACGAGUACAAAUAUAAAUCGACUAGUAGGGGUGCACAAUUAGUACCAAUUGUAAUACCGAUUUUCUGUUGAAAUAUGAAUCCUCCAAACUCAACAAAUAUAUUGUCGAUCAAAAAGUCCAGCAUUUUGAUAAUAUCAUCUUCAGUAUAUUUUCUGGUAGAUUCAGUGUGGUUCUUCACAAAAUAUGAAUUAUUGUAACCAAAAACAAGAAGUUUGUAUCUACGAUUCCCAUUUUUAUAGAAAUAGCUCUGCUUAAUGAGAUGGUGGAGCGACUUUAACUAGAUGGGAAUAGUAGUGUAGAAAAAUCAAGUCUUAUUUCAAAAUUGUGAUAUAUACAAUUAGAUCUUCCAAUUUUUUGAUAACCACAUCUGGUAACACCACUGGUAGAAUAUAUCUCAUCACAAUAUUUUUGAAGCCCAUCUUUAACUGUAGAAAGAAUAUGAGUCAGUUUUUGAGAAAGAUGUUUAGUCGAACAGUUUGAUGAUCCAGCUAUGUAUCGUUCUCUAUAUGGAGUUUUGUGUAGUUUUGGUAUCCAGUAUAAUGAUGGUAAAUUUUCUUCGUUUUCUUUGAUGUUGAUACCAAAAGAAAGAAGGACAGAUUUGUGAUUUUGUAAAAUCUCGUCCUUGGUGAAAUAAACGAAACAAAACCCGAAAUAAACAUAAACAAACGACAACCACUGAAUUACAGGCUUCUGACUUGGGACAGACACAUACAUGUUGUGCCACCUGUCGAUUACUCAUAUUAAAUUUUGUAACAAUAUGACAAGAGUUAUUUUUCAUCACAUGUAUAAUAAGUUAACUGUCUACUUUUUACUUUCUUUUCUUUUAUCAGUUUGCAAAUAUAUUAAAAGGGGAAGAUGUGAGAGCUAAAACGUCAAAUGACUAUUUCAAAUCAGCUACAUAUUCGAAUGUCUAUGAAAAUCUUGAAAAUUCCCUAGUGAUUAUCUUAUAUCAUACAUUUAUAGAUUUAUUGUUAUAUUGGUAGUCGAUGGAUGAUCUUACAUAUGCUUUUGUUUAAAAGAUUCAUUACUCGUUUCGGCAAUAGAAAUUAGGAGCUUUCUAUAAUAUAGCCAUAGUUCAAUACUGUUUGUUGCACCUAUAUAUGUUUUGGAUGCUUUUGUAUUUGUGUGUUCUGUCUCAUUACCGAUCCUUUUGUUAAACUCAAAUUUGUCAGUGGUUAUUUGAGGACAGGAACAUUUUCUUGCAGUCACUUUUCCAUUUCACGUGAAUCAUAGAUUGUACUUAUCUACUGUUCACGUAAAAUGGAAAAGUGACUGCAGGCAAAUGUUCCUGUGUUUCAAAAUACAUACAAUGAUAUGAAAUAUUUAAAUUGUACUGCAGAAUUGUUUAAAUUAUAUUUAUCGGAUAAUGAUGAUCAUAAGUUGUUUACUUAUUACUAGUUAUUUAGUAAAUGUGCAAAAUUAUGAAAAUGAUGCUGGAAAUGUUUAAGUCAAUGAAUAGAAGAUGAAUGUCAUUCUAUAUUUGCAGGAAAUCAUAGUGGUUUAAGUUGAAAAUCUGCCUAAAAGACUAUUCAGCAAUAUUUUAGAAAUGUUAAAACAGAAACCAGAAAAUGGAACCAAAGGAUGAACAUAAACCAUAUCAUCCUUUUUGUUUGAACUAUGUGGAACCAAAUAAAUUACUACAGUAUACUAAUUCAGUAAUUCAGGCUAUAUAUCUCUAUCAAUCAAGUGAAAAACAAAC